CUUUAAUAGAAAAGGAAUGAUAGGUAAGGGAGGGAACACAUACCCCAGAUCUAAAUCCCAUGGUUGGGACAGGGCAUCUUGACCUGCUGACAGAGGAUCUGGAUUCAGGGAGAAAAUUACCGUACUUGUUCAUUCUUUCUGUUUGCCAUAAGUUUGAUUUGGAGUAUGCCCCACCUUUGAGUGAUCAUCCUGAAUACCUCUGGGUGUAAGCUCCAUUCUCCUGGUUGAAUAACUUUUCUGCUCAGAUAGUCUUCUAUAGUAUUGUACACUCCAGGUAGGUACAGUGCUUUCAGAACUAACAGAUGUUUCUGGGCCCGGAUCAUGAGGGGUUUCAUAGCUGAAAGAAGACAUUUGCUCAUGGUGCC